rnacentral:rRNA from 1 species
UGGUGGAGUGAUCUGUCUGGUUAAUUCCGUUAACGAACGAGAUCUUGUCUUACUAAGUAGCUACGUAUAAUUUUGGUUACAUGGGCAGCUUCUUAAAGGGACUUUGUGAAGCUACUACAAGGAAGUUCGAGGCAAUAACA